GCCGGGUAGCCGGGUUCGGGCGGGCGAUGAUUUCGCCGGGGGUGCCCUGCUGGACCGGCACCCCUUCGUGCAGCACGAUGAUCUGGUC
rnacentral:tRNA from 1 species